CCGCCCACCCCUUCAAGGCCCGGAGCGAGGCAACCCUCGUCUCGACAGCGCAGGCGCUAGGGUGAGGCCGACCUCGCGCAGUGACGCAGGCGCGCUCCCUGCGAGGCGGGGCUGCCCUAGGAGGUCGACGCGCGAGAAAAAAGAAGCAGGAGGGCGCAGCAAGACCUUAAAGGCGCCGUGGUGUAAAAGGGACAGGACAUCUGGGUCGACAACUCGCUAGGAAACUCAGACCCAGAGAGAGGUUUGAGCCUGGAGAGCACUGCACGUCCGCCAGGAGGCUCGCGGCCCUGCCCCUGAAGGGUCAGCGAGGGCGGCCCAGCACAAAAGAAGACAAUUCUAAAACUUAAGUGGAAAUGUAAAGGUCCUGGAAUAGCUACAAUUUUGAAAAAGUACAAAAAAAAAAAAAAAAACA